GGCGUGUCAGUGCAGGUCUAUGGCGUGUCAGUGUAGGUCUGUGGCGUGUCAGUGCAGGUCCGUGGCGUGUCAGUGCAGGUCCGUGGCGUGUCAGUGCAGGUCUGUGGCGUGUCAGUCCGUGUCAGUGCAGGUCCGUGGCGUGUCAGUGCAGGUCCGUGGCGUGUCAGUGCAGGUCUGUGGCGUGUCAGUGCGUGUCAGUGCAGGUCCGUGGCGUGUCACUGCAGGUCUGUGGCGUUUCAGUGCAGGUCUGUGGC